rnacentral:rRNA from 1 species
UACACUCCUGCGGGAGGCAGCAGUGGGGAAUAUUGCACAAUGGGCGCAAGCCUGAUGCAGCCAUGCCGCGUGUAUGAAGAAGGCCUUCGGGUUGUAAAGUACUUUCAGCGGGGAGGAAGGCGAUAAGGUUAAUAACCUUGUCGAUUGACGUUACCCGCAGAAGAAGCACCGGCUAACUCCGUGCCAGCAGCCGCGGUAAUACGGAGGGUGCAAGCGUUAAUCGGAAUUACUGGGCGUAAAGCGCACGCAGGCGGUCUGUCAAGUCGGAUGUGAAAUCCCCGGGCUCAACCUGGGAACUGCAUUCGAAACUGGCAGGCUAGAGUCUUGUAGAGGGGGGUAGAAUUCCAGGUGUAGCGGUGAAAUGCGUAGAGAUCUGGAGGAAUACCGGUGGCGAAGGCGGCCCCCUGGACAAAGACUGACGCUCAGGUGCGAAAGCGUGGGGAGCAAACAGGAUUAGAUACCCCAGUAGUCCCAU